AUGUACAUUCCUAUAACAUAUCAUUAAUGCACCAGAUCCCAUUAGAACUCUGUAGUUAAGUGUGCUCGGGCUAGAGUAGUACUGGGAUGGGUGACCACCUAAUAAUUCCUAGUGUUUUACAUG
rnacentral:rRNA from 1 species